ACCUGCAGCCACACCUCUCUAGGCAUGCCUGAUCCUGUUGGUUUGCUGGAGCUAAAUAGGGCUGGAUCUGGUCAGUACUUUGCUAGGAGACUACUUGAGAACAUCAAGUGCCGUAGGCU
rnacentral:rRNA from 1 species